rnacentral:rRNA from 1 species
AGAGUUUGAUCCUGGCUCAGAACGAACGCUGGCGGCGUGCCUAACACAUGCAAGUCGUACGAGAAAAUCCGCUUCGGCGGGUGAGUAAAGUGGCGCACGGGUGAGUAACGCGUGGAUAAUCUGCCUUUAAGCGGGGAAUAACUUACCGAAAGGUGGGCUAAUACCCCAUAAAGCUAUGGAGCUCCGGUUUUCAUAGCCAAAGAGAGCCUCUGCAUGCAAGCCCUCACUUAGAGAUGAGUCCGCGUACCAUUAGCUAGUUGGUGGGGUAAUGGCCUACCAAGGCGACGAUGGUUAGCUGGUCUGAGAGGAUGAUCAGCCACACUGGAACUGACACACGGUCCAGACUCCUACGGGAGGCAGCAGUGAGGAAUAUUACGCAAUGGGGGCAACCCUGACGCAGCAACGCCGCGUGAGUGAGGAAGGUUUUCGGAUCGUAAAGCUCUGUCGGGUGGGAAGAAAUGUAUGGAGGUUAACAGCCUUUGUACUUGACGGUACCGCCAAAGGAAGCACCGGCUAACUCCGUGCCAGCAGCCGCGGUAAUACGGGGGGUGCUAGCGUUGUUCGGAAUCAUUGGGCGUAAAGAGCGUGUAGGCGGCUAGGCAAGUCAGAUGUGAAAUCCCUGGGCUUAACCCAGGACGUGCAUUUGAAACUGCUUGGCUUGAGUAGGGAAGAGGGAAGUGGAAUUCCUGGUGUAGAGGUGAAAUUCGUAGAUAUCAGGAGGAACACCGGUGGCGAAGGCGACUUCCUGGUCCUAUACUGACGCUGAGACGCGAGAGCGUGGGGAGCAAACAGGAUUAGAUACCCUGGUAGUCCACGCCGUAAACGAUG